rfam:Phytophthora infestans T30-4 supercont1.13 genomic scaffold, whole genome shotgun sequence.
UAGCUCAAUGGUCGAGCGUUGGCUUUAGAAGCCACAGGUCGGUGGUUCAAAUCCACC